GGAGUCGAUCAGUCUGUGGCACUGCUCAGGUGUUAUGAGAGCCCAGGUUGCUCUGAUAGUGGCCUUCAGUUCUUCUGCAUUGUUGGGUCAGGUGAGUUUGCUGGCCAAUUAAGAACAGGGAUACCAUGGUCCUUAUACCAGGUACUUGUAGCUUUGGCACUGUGUGCAGAUGCCAAGUCCUG